rnacentral:rRNA from 1 species
GACGAACGCUGGCGGCGUGCUUAACACAUGCAAGUCGAACGGAAAGGCCCUGCUUUUGUGGGGUGCUCGAGUGGCGAACGGGUGAGUAACACGUGAGUAACCUGCCCUUGACUUUGGGAUAACUUCAGGAAACUGGGGCUAAUACCGGAUAGUAGCUCCUGCUGCAUGGUGGGGGUGGGAAAGUUUCGGCGGUUGGGGAUGGACUCGCGGCUUAUCAGCUUGUUGGUGGGGUAGUGGCUUACCAAGGCUUUGACGGGUAGCCGGCCUGAGAGGGUGACCGGCCACAUUGGGACUGAGAUACGGCCCAGACUCCUACGGGAGGCAGCAGUGGGGAAUAUUGCACAAUGGGCGGAAGCCUGAUGCAGCAACGCCGCGUGCGGGAUGACGGCCUUCGGGUUGUAAACCGCUUUCGCCUGUGACGAAGCGUGAGUGACGGUAAUGGGUAAAGAAGCACCGGCUAACUACGUG